UGCUUUCUCUCUCAUUCCUCACACAUCUCACAAAACAACAUCAGAUCUUCUCUCUCUCUUCUCUCUCUCUCUCUCGGCGAUCUAGGGUUUCAUGAGAUCUAUCACCAGAUCCGUUUGAAUCUAUCACCAGAUCCGUUUGAUGAGCAGAUCUAGGGUUUCAUGAGAUCUAUCACAAGCUUUAUCUGGCAACUUGAUGUCGAAGGCACCAAGGGAUCCACAGAUUUGAACAAGGGAUCCACAGAUUUGCUGGAGAAUGGCCGGAAUCAGGUGACUGUCUGUCCAUGAAUCUCUCUGGAAUCAUGUUUCGGAUGAAGGUAAACACACAAAUCGAUCCAGUUUCAAGUUUAUGUUACUCUGUUGAGAUUAUGAAAUUCUUGAACGAUCGUAGCAUAUUGAUGAGAUUGUAUGUUUUCUUUCAUCUACUUUUGAUGUGUUUUAUGUUUAAAGAUUCUUUUUUUUGGUGAUUAUUAGCACCAAGGAUGAGGGGCAGCAGUCG
rnacentral:lncRNA from 1 species